rnacentral:rRNA from 1 species
UACAGAGGGUGCGAGCGUUAAUCGGAUUUACUGGGCGUAAAGCGCACGUAGGCGGAUUGGUCAGUUAGAGGUGAAAUCCCAGAGCUCAACUCUGGAACUGCCUUUAAUACUGCCAGUCUCGAGUCCGGAAGAGGUGAGUGGAACUCCUAGUGUAGAGGUGGAAUUCGUAGAUAUUAGGAAGAACACCAGUGGCGAAGGCGGCUCACUGGUCCGGUACUGACGCUGAGGUGCGAAAGCGUGGGGAGCAAACAGG